UCUUUUUGUCUUAAUUAAUUUCUAUACCUAAUAAAAUUAAAAAUAAUUAAUGGCUAUCGAAAGGCCAUCCCUCUCAAAAGGGACUUCACCGAGAACGACGACUCUGUAACAACCAUCGAAAGGCAGCCAUCAACCGCCGACUCUGCCACCAUCCCGCCGUCAACGUCCACAGUAGAACCUCCGACUAUGUAACAGCUAUGGCCGUCAACAACCACCUCCUUCUACGGCCGUCAACAACAACCACCAUCCCGUUGUCAACAAAAUUGUUCCAGCUCUUUGAGUAGUUCCAAGAUUUGAUUUUCUUUUUUCUUCACCCAUAAACUUUAUCUCCUCCACCUGAAAUAACCACCUUCUUCUAUUAAUCCAAGCUCCACAUUUUCAAAUAGCCCUAAAAUUGUAGGGUUUUUUCUCCACUAAGCUCGACCACCUCCUUUUGCAAUUUCUUAAUAGUUGAGCCAUAAUUUGCAGAUUCCAUUAGUGAGGAAGAAAUUGCAACUGAUAGCUGUGGGAUAAAUCACGGUGGAGUAGAUCAAGAAAUGGAUGAUGAAGAAGAACUAGACCUUACUUGAGAUAGAAGUUUGAAUUGUUAUAGAUGAAUGUUCUAGGAAUCUUUUGUUAUCAACAUUUUUGAAACUUACUUACUCUCUUGAAAUGUACUAAACUUAUGCACUUGGGGUACAACAUUUGCUUUAUGGAUAUUAUUUGCUUGAAUGAUAAUUUUACAUUAUUAA